GUAAUUUUUCAUAUUCACUUAAAGUAUUUCUUUUAUGUAUGUUAAUUGUACAGGGUGGGAGCUUCAGCCCACUAUCGUCAAUAAUAAAAAUACUAUUCAUAUCUUGCAGUGAUGUUUCAUUACUCAUCCUUUUUUCUUGAUUUAAUUUAAAUGCUCUAGGUAUUUCACCUGACUCAACAUGAUGCCUGCAAUAUUUACACUGUCAAAGGGUUUUUUACAAUCUUUAUAAAUAACAAUACCUUACAUAGAUUCAACAGUGCUAUAUUAAACUCAAUAUUUAUGCGAAAACGACGUUAAGGUUGAAUAACCAAGACCCGCUUGAGAAUAAGAUCACACUGAUAAAAAAAGGGCGAUACAUUAAAUGUAUCGCCCUUUUUGUACCUAAA
rnacentral:misc_RNA from 1 species